rnacentral:rRNA from 1 species
AACGGCCGUACCAUGCUGAAUAUACCGGUUCUCGUUAGAUCACCGAAGUCAAGCAUCAUUGGGCGCGGUCAGUACUUGGGUGGGUGACCACCUGGGAACAUCGCGGGCCGU